rnacentral:tRNA from 1 species
GGAGUAUUACUCAAACGAUCAAGAGGGUUGUUUGCUAAACAAUUAGGGCUUUAUAAGUCGUAUAGGUUCGAAUCCUAUAUACUCCG